GACAGAGGGUGCAAACGUUGUUCGGAAUUACUGGGCGUAAAGCGCAUGUAGGCGGCCAAGCAGGUCGGAUGUGAAAUCCCUCGGCUCAACCAAGGAAGUGCAUUCGAAACCGCAUGGCUGGAGUCCCGGAGAGGAAGGUGGAAUUCUCGGUGUAGAGGUGAAAUUCGUAGAUAUCGAGAGGAACACCGGUGGCGAAAGCGGCCUUCUGGACGAGGACUGACGCUGAGAUGCGAAAGCGUGGGGAGCAAACAGG
rnacentral:rRNA from 2 species